GACAGAUGAGAAGAAAGAAUACUAUGACGAUGCUUUUCCUCUGGAGAGGAGUGCUGGACUGAUGGGGACAGAAGACACAGCGGAGGACUAUGAUGAUGCUGUGGCUGUAGAACAGAGUCGACAUUUUUUACCAGGAGAGAAAGCGUUAACCACUCUGCCCCCUGGUGAGGGACCUCCUGAUCCUGACCACACUGACUAUGAUGAUGUGGGAGAUGGAGGAUCGUCUGCAGUUCUGGAAUCUCUCUGUGACUGACAGCCCAGUCUGAGUCUGAAGGUCCUUCUGCCCAAAGCUUCAAAC